AGAGUUUGAUCAUGGCUCAGGAUGAACGCUGGCGGCGUGCCUAAUACAUGCAAGUCGAGCGAGAAUCUGAUGAUUGGAGAUCCGUCAAAGAGAAUCAGAGGAAAGCGGCGGACGGGUGAGUAACGCGUAGGCAACCUGCCCUUAGCAGAGGGAUAGCCAUUGGAAACGAUGAUUAAAACCUCAUAAUGCUGCAAGAGCACAUGCUCAUGCAGCCAAAGAUUUAUCGGCUAAGGAUGGGCCUGCGUCUGAUUAACUAGUUGGUGGGGUAACGGCUCACCAAGGUGACGAUCAGUAGCCGACCUGAGAGGGUGAUCGGCCACAUUGGAACUGAGACACGGUCCAAACUUCUACGGAAGGCAGCAGUAAGGAAUCUUGCACAAUGGGGGAAACCCUGAUGCAGCAACGCCGCGUGAACGAUGAAGGCCUUAGGGUUGUAAAGUUCUGAUCUGUGGGAAGAAGAAGUGACGGUACCACAGGAGAAAGCCCCGGCUAAAUACGUGCCAGCAGCCGCGGUAAUACGUAUGGGGCAAGCGUUAUCCGGAAUUAUUGGGCGUAAAGAGUGCGUAGGUGGUUACCUAAGCGCAAGGUUUAAUCUUGAGGCUCAACCUCAUUCUGCCUUGCGAACUGGGCUACUUGAGUGCAGGAGGGGAAAGCGGAAUUCCCAGUGUAGCGGUGAAAUGCGUAGAUAUUGGGAAGAACACCGGUGGCGAAGGCGGCUUUCUGGACUGUAACUGACACUGAGGCACGAAAGCGUGGGGAGCAAACAGGAUUAGAUACCCUGGUAGUCCACGCCGUAAACGAUGAGCACUAGUUGUUGGGUACGAAUGUAUUCAGUGACGCAGUUAACGCAAUAAGUGCUCCGCCUGGGGAGUACGGUGGCAACACUAAAACUCAAAGGAAUUGACGGGGACCCGCACAAGCAGCGGAGCAUGUGGUUUAAUUCGAAGCAACGCGAAAAACCUUACCAGGGCUUGACAUCCCUCUGACCGCACUUUAACAGGUGCUUUCUUCGGACAGAGGAGACAGGUGGUGCAUGGUUGUCGUCAGCUCGUGUCGUGAGAUGUUGGGUUAAGUCGCGCAACGAGCGCAACCCUUGCCGUCAGUUACUAACAUUAAGUUGAGGACUCUAACGGGACUGCCGAGGUCAACUCGGAGGAAGGUGGGGAUGACGUCAAAUCAUCAUGCCCCUUAUGUUCUGGGCUACACACGUGCUACAAUGGUCGGUACAAUGAGAAGCAAGAUGGCGACAUGGAGCAAAUCACCAAAACCGAUCCCAGUUCGGAUUGCAGGCUGCAACUCGCCUGCAUGAAGUCGGAGUUGCUAGUAAUCGCGAAUCAGCAUGUCGCGGUGAAUGCGUUCCCGAGUCUUGUACACACCGCCCGUCACACCAUGGAAGUUGGGGGCGCCCAAAGUUGGCUAAUCAAUCUGCUACCUAAGGCGAAACCAAUGACUGGGGUGAAGUCGUAACAAGGUAACCGUA
rnacentral:rRNA from 1 species